rnacentral:rRNA from 1 species
AACACAUGCAAGUCGUGCGAGAAGGUCCUUCGGGACGUGAGUAGAGCGGCGCACGGGUGAGUAACGCGUGGGUGACCUACCCAGGAGACCGGGAUAACGAGUGGGAAACUGCUGCUAAUACCGGGUACGCUUCAUAUUUCACGUAUGGGGGGAAAGGCGGCCUCUGCUUGCAAGCUGCCACUCUUGGAUGGGCCCGCGUCUCAUUAGCUUGUUGGUAGGGUAACGGCCUACCAAGGCGACGAUGAGUAGCUGGUCUGAGAGGAUGAUCAGCCACACUGGGACUGGAACACGGCCCAGACUCCUACGGGAGGCAGCAGUGGGGAAUAUUGCGCAAUGGGCGAAAGCCUGACGCAGCGACGCCGCGUGAAGGGAAGAAGGCCUUCGGGUCGUAAACCUCUGUCAGGAGGGAAGAAACCAUGGGAGUCGAAUAGGCUCUCGUGCUGACGGUACCUCCGGAGGAAGCACCGGCUAACUCCGUGCCAGCCGCGGC